rnacentral:rRNA from 1 species
GGCCUGGCUGCUCGGUCCGCCUAACCGCGUGCACUGAUGCGGCCGGGCCUUUCCUUCUGGCUAACCUCAUGUCCUUCACUGGGUGUGCAGGGGAUCCAGGACUUUUACUUUGAAAAAAUUAGAGUGUUCAAAGCAGGCCUAUGCUCGAAUACAUUAGCAUGGAAUAAUAGAAUAGGACUU